rnacentral:rRNA from 1 species
GUAGGUGGCAAGCGUUGUCCGGAAUUAUUGGGCGUAAAGCGCGCGCAGGCGGGUUCUUUAAGUCUGAUGUGAAAGCCCACGGGCUCAACCGUGGAGGGUCAUUGGAAACUGGAGAACUUGAGUACAGAAGAGGAAAGCGGAAUUCCACGUGUAGCGGUGAAACGCGUAGAGAUGUGGAGGAACACCAGUGGCGAAGGCGGCUUUCUGGUCUGUAACUGACGCUGAGGCGCGAAAGCGUGGGGAGCAAACAGGAUUAGAUACCCUGGUAGUCCACGCCGUAAACGAUGAGUGCUAAGUGUUAGGGGGUUUCCGCCCCUUAGUGCUGCAGCUAACGCAUUAAGCACUCCGCCUGGGGAGUACGGCCGCAAGGCUG